GUUCUUAAUCAUGAGCAGUUAUUUGCAUCAUUUAAUAAAGUAUGAUGUCAUAGCAUUUCUCAUGAUAUCUUCGGUCUGCAUAUAAAUGUCAGCAGCAGGUUCACGGUAUCACACACUCGCGGACAAUUGUGUUGUUUGUUGUCACAGAGCGGUUCCGAUUCGCUCGUCUUACUGGGUUGCCAGAGCGAAUAUUAAAAAUUGAACUAUUUUUUUAAUACUGUUACUUACGUUGGAUCUUACUUUGUUUAAGCAUCUUACUUUUUUAAUUUUGAAACAAAAAAAAAACGUUUUAUUCGUUCAGCUGAGAAUUCCAUAUAUUAAUGAACAUUGUAACAAUUUCUGACAAAAAUUAUUUUAAAAGUUCUAGGUACCAAAAAACAUUCUAAAGCAAUAUUCUCCUUAAUAAAAUAUUUCUAAUUACCCCACAUUUCAGUAUAGGCUGGCAACACCACACGUUAUUCCAUAUUCCUAGUGUUGCGACACGACGCUUGACGUCUAGUCGUGUGGACUGACAAACCGGAUAUUGGAAGCACAACACUACACAACACACUCUUUGCUCGCCUCUCGCUUGACACAGUCGACACGCUUUCAUGCGACGACCAUAGAUACAAUCUCCUUGCUUGUCUUGGCUGGUCAGAUGAUAGGUUUAUAUUGAGAGCAGAUGUGAAUUAUGUAUACCUUAUGCUAUAACAUUUCUAGUUAGCUUCAAAGGCCAAUGAAAAAGGCUUUAAAAUUAUAACCAAGAUCCAGUUUACUGAACUAUAUUUUGUUUUGCGCAACAUUAACAAAACAGUUUAGUUAAACUCAAAAACGUAUGUAAGCAAGGAGUUCCGUACAAAAAUUCUAAAUGGGCUGGAUGACAUUCAGGUACAGCCGGGUGACAGACGGACAGACAUCGGUGCCUCGGUAAUAAAAAUUAUCUCUAUUCGCUUAAGUAAUAAUAAAUAUAUUUUAUGCUAUUUGGAUGAAUCCUACGCGUAUGAUAGUCCGUUCCAAAUAUCUCGAUAAUUUUGUUAUCCAUUUACCGAACCUCAAACUCAGAAAAAUAAUCGAAAUAGUAAAAACACGUAGAAAAGAGAGCAAUUUUCGAAUAAAGUAAUAUUAAAUUUACUCGAAACCACUUCAAAUAAUCACGAAGAAAACAAACAAACGGAAACAGUUUGUGCUCCCGCUUCAUCCAACGAACGUGACUAAAAAUCAUUUUAGUAAUUAGCAUUUAUAUCUCGUUAACAGCAUACCUGCUUGUACCCAAAGGGAAGCAUUCGGGAUUUGUCAAACUUACGCCACUCUUGGGUAUUACGGCACCUACGCCGCUACGCUACGUCAUAAUCCUUGCUUAAACAGGUCCGUAGUACACACAAAGGGUGCACGCGUAUUUGUGAAGUUUUAUUUUGUUACAGAUUAUGGGAGCUUGAAAUGGUGUAGGCUUUCUGUGACUUGGCGAUUACCCCAAUUACUACGAAGAGGACAUUCAGGACACAGUCGCAUUCGAAUAAAAGCUCCAUUCAUAAAAUCAAAUAUUGACGAAGGCAAA